GACGAACGCUGGCGGCGUGCCUAACACAUGCAAGUCGAGCGGGGCAGGGGCGGAUGGCAACUGAAGCCUCUACCUAGCGGCGGACGGGUGAGUAACGCGUGGGCAACCUGCCUCAAGGAUCGGGAUAACAGCUCGAAAGGGCUGCUAAUACCGGAUGCGCUCACGGCCUCGCAUGGGGCUGUGAGCAAAGGGGGGAAACCCCCUUGAGAUGGGCCCGCGUCCCAUCAGCUAGUUGGUGAGGUGAAAGCUCACCAAGGCGACGACGGGUAGCCGGCCUGAGAGGGUGACCGGCCACACUGGGACUGAGACACGGCCCAGACUCCUACGGGGGCAGCAGUGGGGGAUCUUGCACAAUGGGCGAAAGCCUGAUGCAGCGACGCCGCGUGAGCGAAGAAGGCCUUCGGUGUAAAGCUCUGUCUGGAGGGACGAAACAAAUGACGGUACCUCCGGAGGAAGCCACGGCUAACUACGUGCCAGCAGCCGCGGUAAAGUCACG
rnacentral:rRNA from 1 species